rnacentral:misc_RNA from 1 species
AACCAUAGAAACCUGCGGAGUACCUGCGGAGGGAUCAUUAUUGGAAAAAACAUUUUAUCUAAGUUGCAGGAGGGGGGGAAAAUUUUUCUCCCUUCUGCUUCUUCAACCAAACGAUCACAACUAUAUACUAGGGAAUUUGGAUUGGAUUGGGAAAUUUGGAUUGGAUUGGAUUGGAUGAUGAUUUGGUGGGGAAGUUAUCAAAAGUAUUUGCCUGAUACAAUGUACACAAUGCCAUUGAUG